UGAGGAAUAUUGGUCAAUGGGCGGAAGCCUGAACCAGCCAAGUCGCGUGAGGGAAGACGGUCCUAUGGAUUGUAAACCUCUUUUGUCGGGGAGCAAAGCCGCUCACGUGUGAGCGGAAGGAGAGUACCCGAAGAAAAUGCAUCGGCUAACUCCGUGCCAGCAGCCGCGGUAAUACGGAGGAUGCGAGCGUUAUCCGGAUUUAUUGGGUUUAAAGGGUGCGUAGGCGGAAGAUUAAGUCAGCGGUAAAAUGUCGGUGCCCAACGCCGGCCGGCCGUUGAAACUGAUUUUCUUGAGUGGGCGAGAAGUAUGCGGAAUGCGUGGUGUAGCGGUGAAAUGCAUAGAGAUCACGCAGAACUCCGAUUGCGAAGGCAGCAUACCGGCGCCGACUGACGCUGAGGCACGAAAGCGUGGGGAUCAAACAGGAUUAGAUACC
rnacentral:rRNA from 1 species